CUUUUAAUGGCCAGGACUUCAUAUCAUCUUAGUAAAACAUUAUUUUCAACUGAAUAUAUUUUAUGUUAUGCAAAAAAGGUUAAAGAUAUCACAUUUGUUAACGUUUAGAAAAACUAUAGGAAUUGCGCGCCCCUUCUUUAAAAAAUAUUGGUACGUUCUUUUCAAUUGCGCUGCGAGCGUACAUUGAGGCACGAGAAGAACGGGAAACCUGAUCCGUAUAACAUGAAGUGGACCAAUUUCGGUGGUAAUUGAUCGGAUUAUUCUACUUUAAGAAAAGGAAACACCACACUACGGCAUAAUUUCAUUUUUUCCCCUUCGAAGAAGAGGAGGAUGGUGGCCGGGUAGUUACAACUUCGGACACGCUGCUGUUCCUUGGCACGCGCACUGAUCCAGUUGGUGAGGCAGCAGUAGCAGGGUUCUGAUCCUGAGGAGAUGACGGAGGUGGUAGAGCCCAAGCUGGACUUUGCAUCCUCUGGUCGCUCGGGGAGAAGGAAUGCCCUACCUGACAUCCUGGGUUCACCGGCUGGGGUCAACCCAACUGACCUGCAACUCAAAUUGUCCGAGCUCCACCUCACAGAUGGUCUGGGAGAAGCCCAGUCUCCCACGGCAGAGGAGGCCCCACUCCCUACAGAGAGCUCUGAGAGGAAUGAGGGAUCAUAAGGCUGUCUGGGGGGAGGCCCCAAACUAGCCCCAAUGUUUACCUCCAGGGAAGCUGAUGAGAACUGGAGAAGAGGGAUGAAUGGGUAGAACGAUACAGAAGGACCGAUGAAGGAGAAUGAUGGGCCUGUUUUGAACAGCAGCUGAGCUGCAGAGAGAAGGAUGAUGAUAGAGACCAUUCCCUGUCCAUCCUAUCACCCAAUCUGAAAAGACUCUUAAGAAAGCGUUGGUGUGUGUGGGUGGAAAGAUCACCUCUACUCCAACACACUGCCAUGAGAAACAAUGGAUGUAUGCUGAUUAUAUGAUGUUGUACACUACAAUCAAUCAAUUCAAUCAAGACUCAAAACAUUCAGCAACGGAGAAGUCACAAGUGAAAAAAAUAAAAAAUGUACAAUAUCUUACUGGUGUCUGUUAAUUGGCCACUGAUUCAACACAGCCAAUCAUGUGGGACGAUGGGCGGAUCCUAGUGGCCAAUAGUGGUUCAGAGCUUUCUGAUUGAUCUGGAAGGGAAAGUAAUGAUGUAUUAUAAUGUACUGGAUGUGUAUGAAGAAUGAGGUGAGAGUGAGUUAACUGUAUAACAAGAGGCAGCUGGCUUCCUCUUUCGGUGUCACACAGACAUUGAUGUAAUCAUGAAUUCACAUCUGAGACUUUAAUACAGAGGGCAGUGUAUGUAGUGCAUGUAUGGGUUUUUAAACGUUGUUCAAAUGGUUUUAAUGACAACCAAUGGGGCUAAAGCUAAUGGAUCGAGAUGAUUGCUGUGAUUGUGACCAGAAGUGUUGAUGUGUUUAUUUGCAAAGGUUAGCUAGAUGCUAAAGCUAACAUUAUGAGUAGCCUGACAAUCCAAUCCCUUAUCUUUUAGAACAUUCCUGAAAUGAACCUAAAAUGGUUUCUCACUGCCAACCAUGUACUGUUGAAGCAGUCUGACGCUGUUGGUGCAUUUCCAUACAGGAUUUACCUCAAUGUAGGCUCAGACUUUUCUGUUUCCAUCUACGCGGCCACCCGUGUCUCACUGGGCCCUGGUUCCGGCGUACCAGGUCUCACUUGUGGCCAACCCAGGCCGCUGGUACUUUUCAGCUGGCAAUUGCAUAACAAACUGAACUUUUAACACCUUCUCACAAAGCAACUGUUUUGAUUAUGCUGAAGCUGUAGAUUCUGCUCUUCACUGUCAGCCCUAGCUAUGGAAACCAUUUCUCCUACUAUAACAUAAGGGUGUGUACACUAGUGUAAAGCUGGUGUAACAGUUUCACAACGGCAUGUGAAAACUGCUGCUGUGUUCCUCUCAGCUCAAGGCUGUCUUUCAUUAAAAGGAUUUAUAUUUUUCCAGACUUCUCAGAAAAUGUGCCUGGUAGCAGUUUACACAAGAAACCUGCUUUGCUGUGUUCUAUGGGUGCGUUCAUAAAUUCACUCUGGUUAUCUACUCCGAUUUCAGAGCACUUUCGUCUGAGGGUGCCAGAGCGCAGAAUAACUCAUUUAUGAACGCUCAACACCCGUUGAAUAUGGCCGGUGUCAGUAAACGUCGGCAAAAAAAAGUGUUGCCAGCAACAUAGUUCCAGUCACCAACACUCUGGAUGACAUGAAAACUGCCUAACCAGCUCUGACUCCUUUACUCACCCUAGCAGAGUGAGGUGUUCUCUCAUUUUAGUCUGGAAGUAGCUAGUCAACGUUCGCCAGUUAGCUUGGGUGCUUGACUGCCGUUGUAAGGUCAUAAUGCUCUGAUCAACCCUACUUCUUUGAAUUUAGGAACGGACAAUCUGACUAUUGAAUUUAGGAACGCCCAGAGUACACUCUAGAUUGAAUUUACCAACACCCCCUAUAUCUCUGAAGUACUUUUGAACAGUAUUUGGGCUAUUGACCCGUAGAAGACAUGUCUACCAGGUCUUUGAUGAUAAACUGUAUAGAAAAAUGUCACAUUUAUCACAACAGUACAUAUGUUAAUGAUGUACCGGCUCAAAGAGGAAUACCACCCACACUCACAGCAAGGCCUUGGUGAUGGAAGGCUUGUGCACUUGCAGUGUGGUCAGCAUAUGCCUGUUGUCUGGGCAUGGGAGCAAGCACCAAGCAACACCACCAAAGUGUUGCAUCAUGUAUGGAGAUGGCAGCAUGCCUUCUGCCUCCUGCUGCUCCACUCAGCCACAGACGGACAGCCCGGGAAUUCACACAGGCCCAUUUUUUAACCCCCCCCUGGAGGCCAGCACACCGGCCCGCUUUUUUUCUUGAAGCCCCUAGUAUUAUCUAAGUAAUGGUAAUUCUGCACAAAAACAACAAUUUCGACUGGCCCAUCUGGCAUUUGCCCGAACUGCCCUGUGGCCAGUCCGUGCCUGCACCUAGCAGCCUGUCUGAGAGAACUUGUAUCUGUUCUAUUUCACUCGUCAACACAUUAAUAGAGCUGUGAGAAGGGAGAUAUGCAUGAUCACGAUAGACUAAUGAUAUGAACACUCAGGACCAGAUGCACGGUGAACAGAAGGAUAGCCCUAUACAGUACUUAGUAAUUAAUGCCAAUAUAUACUGUUUAACAUUACAGGAUGCCAGUUAUUACACUGUUGUAUAUAUUGUGAUAUUACAUGAGGAAGAGUCUAUUCACUAUACAUACAUACAUGUGUUCAUAUAGUGAAUAUACAUUCACGAUACGAUACAAGAGAAUGAACAUUCUGUAUUAUCAAUCGUCUUUUUAUUAAAUGUUUGGGCUGUGUGUAUCUUUGUAUGGUUUUGUCCGAAGUGCAGGCAACUGAUGCUCUUGUUUGUGAUGUACUUAUUACUGGAGUCGUUCGUGUAAUAACUCAAGGUAAAUGCUCAUUCUAUGGGGAGGAAAAAUCAGAGGUGUGUCUCGUAGUGUACCCUGUUCUCAGUUGUGGUAUGUGCAGUAUAUUGUAUUUAGCAUAAUUCCACAUGUCGAUUCUUUCAGGUGGGUAGGCAACAUGCUAUAAUAAAUCCACAAAGAUUCACAAAGGUA